UACGUAGGGGGGCAAGCGUUGUCCGGAUUUAUUGGGCGUAAAGAGCGUGUAGGCGGCCAUACAGGUCUGCUGUGAAAAACUCGAGGCUCAACCCUCGAGCUGUCGGUGGAAACCGUAUGGCUAGAGUCCGGAAGAGGAGAGUGGAAUUCCCGGUGUAGCGGUGAAUGCGCAGAUAUCGGGAAGAACACCGUGGCUAAGCGCUCUCUAGUACGGUACUGACGCUGAGACGCGAAGCGUGGAGCGAACAGG
rnacentral:rRNA from 1 species